rnacentral:lncRNA from 1 species
AAGCUUCCAAGCUCGAUUGUAAGUCCGUUCUAGCCCCGUUUUUAAUAAUUUUUACGUUUUUGAAAUCCUCGUAACAAGAUUUACCUAUUUUUACCAUUAUUUAAAACUAUGGUUCGUGUUUAAAAAUUUAAACAUGAAUGAUAUGCUUGUAUUUUGAUGUUUUAUGGAAGAAUAUGAAUGUUUGGAGUGUGAUUAACGUCUUUUACUAAGUGAUUUUCGAUGAAAAUGCCUAAAAGGAUUAAUUUGUAAAAGUUAUAAAAUAUGUUACAAGUGUGUGAAUAAGUGAGAAUUGUGGACUUCUAUAGUUAUGAAAAUGGUUCGGCUAAGUCUAAAAUGCAAGAAAAUUGAAUAAAAAUUAUUUUACGAGCCUAGGGGCAAAAUCAUAAUUCUGUGAAACUUUAAGGGUAAAAAUGAAAUUUUCCAAAGUGUGAUUUUUGGACUAAAUUGAAUAAUGUGAGUGUUAAAUUAGUUAAAUGUGUUAUUAUAAAUCAAGAAAGACGAGAAAUUGACUUUGAUCAGUAAAAAAAAAAGUGAGAAAAAGUGAAAUUAUGAAAGAGUACAUUUAGCAACAAAAACAGUUUAGACAGCAAUAGUUGUGUGACUUUGAAAAAUCACCAAAAAUGGUGGAAAUUGAAUUAGAGGCUAAAUAAUAUGUGAAAUUAAAUCUGAAUGAGUCUAUUUUCACAUAAAAGAGACAGAGCAAGCAAAAGAGUUUUAUAUUACGAGAUAUUUGAAUUUUAGUGAGACGGGGCUAGAAUGAUUUUGAAAUCCCCUGUUUUGACUUUGGAAAAUCAUUAAAAAUUGUAAAAAAAUAAUUAUGAGAUAAAAUUUUUAUGUUUAGAAUCCUAAAUGAGUCUAUUAUCAAAAGAAACAAACAAGAACAUUACCCGAGUUCUGUACUAUGAAAUAAUUAAUUUUUAGUAAAGAAAGGUCAGAACUGUCGAGCUGUGAAAUAGGGGAAACUUUAAAGAAUAAAAUGUACUUAUUGGCUAAGAAAAAAAUUCUAAAAAUUUUAUGGUAAGAAGAUAUGUAAGUAUAGUUUCGGGAAAAAUUAACGGAUCUUAAUUUGGAGCUCGGUAGCUCGAGAUAUAAAUAAAUUAGUGACUCAGACUCAAACAGAUAGUUUGAAUUUACAUACAGGAAAAUAGUGAAAGUAUGGAUAAUGUUGUUUAAGUGUGUUAUACACAUUAAGGAUGUGGAAUGCAAAGGGGGAGGAGGAAAAUUGGAAAAUAUAUGAAUGAUUUGUGUAUAAUUAGUCAUAUGCUCGAUUAUGAUUGAUAAACGAUGAAAUAGAAAUGAUACUUAUAUUUGCGCAUGAUUGGUCAUGGUUUAAGCUCAUAUGAGAAAAUAAAGUUUCAUAGUAUGUGUGUAUGGUAUAUUUGGAAUAUGAUAUGGCUUGAGGUAAUGUCAUGAAUGAUUUAUGAAUUAACACAUGUUGGUAAGUUUGAUACAUGAAUAAAUGUUGUGCUCAUCUAUGCUUAUAAUGCUUAUGCUAUAUUUUUAUUUGGUUAACAUAUUUGGUGUACACGCUUAGGCUUUGGUCAAGAUGUGGUUGGAUUAUGCCACGUUAAACUUAUAAGUUAUGCAUUGAGAUGGUAAGUGCCUAAAUGGAAAUAUGCUUGUGAUCAUGACAGGAGUGGUAAGGUUUAAAUUAUGUAAUCUCUAGUAAAAUGGUUUAUCACGUGGUUAAUUCCAAAAAAAGAAUUAUGUUUAAAUGCAUUAACUUGCGACUAUGGUUGAAUGAUAUGCUUAUGUCUUGUGGAAAGAUAAUGAAAUAGUAAGUUCAUAUUUGAAGUGAGAAAUGACGAAAAAGGGGAUGAUGAGUUUAAUUGUACGUG